UUUCUGAAACAGGAAAAAAAAGAAUUAGAUGAAAUUUGUAAUAACCAUGUGUAACCUGGGUAUGUUAGACUCUGCUAGAAACAAUUGCAUGCCUUACUGCUCAGCCUAUUUUUAGGAGGUGUAAGCAACUAGCAUCUUGAACGAACCUAGUGGCUGAUGUUCCCUGUUUUAUUGUUUUAUCUCUUAAGACCAGUCUCUACCUGGUAAAGGAGACUAACCUCACCUCUUCUAGGUAAAGAAACAGACUUUUCACACCUUCUGGGGAAAGAAGUAGACUGACCCAUCCCUACUGGGUAGAGACACAGACUGACCCACCCCUUCUGGGUAAAGAAACAGACUUACCUACACCUACUGGAGAAGAAACAGAGUGACACACCGCUACUGGGUACCUACAACCAUAUAACUGUGUGAUGGGUGCCUUCAUGGUACCUGUACUAGUUGCGGUGGAGAACCCGUAGCUUGCUGUAAAACCUGUGCUACUGUUGGGUAUUUUGGUUGCUGGAACAGAAAAAUGUUAUCGACAAUGAAAGACGUUAAAGGUUGAGAUACUUUUAUGUUUGUAGUACUGUGUUAUGAUAGCGGUACUUCUGCAUCUGCAUAAAAGUAAAACCAUGGGUAUAGAAAGUAGUAAACUAUGCAAUAAAGUUCAUGAGGUCGUAA